rnacentral:rRNA from 1 species
UCCCAGUUCGGAUUGCAGGCUGCAACCCGCCUGCAUGAAGUUGGAAUCGCUAGUAAUCGCGGACCAGCAUGCCGCGGUGAAUACGUUCCCGGGCCUUGUACACACCGCCCGUCACACCAUGAGAGUCGGGGACACCCGAAGUCCGUAGUCUAACCGCAAGGGGACGCGGCCGAAGGUGGAUUCGAUAAUUGGGGUGAAGUCGUAACAAGGUAGC